CCAGCAGCCGCGGUAAUACGGAGGUGGCUAGCGUUACUCGGAAUUAUUGGGUGUAAAGGGCAAGUAGGCGGCUUGGUAAGUAGGGGGUGAAAUACUCCGGCUCAAUCGGAGAACUGCCUUCUAAACUGCCAGGCUUGAGUGUGACAGAGGAAAAUGGAAUUCUCGGUGUAAGGGUGAAAUCUGUAGAUAUCGAGAAGAACACCAGCGGCGAAGGCGAUUUUCUGGGUCACUACUGACGCUAAAUUGCGAAAGCUAGGGGAGCAAACAGAAUUAGAUACUCUGGUAGUCCUAGCCGUAAACGAUGAGCACUAGAUGUCGGUCCCUUUAGGGGUCGGUGUCGCAGCUAACGCAUUAAGUGCUCCACCUGGGGACUACGGUCGCAAGG
rnacentral:rRNA from 1 species